rnacentral:rRNA from 1 species
AUUGAACGCUGGCGGCAGGCUUAACACAUGCAAGUCGAGCGGAGCGAGGGUGCUUGCACCUUAGCUUAGCGGCGGACGGGUGAGUAAUGCUUAGGAAUCUGCCUAUUAGUGGGGGACAACAUUCCGAAAGGAAUGCUAAUACCGCAUACGCCCUACGAGGGAAAGCAGGGGAUCUUCGGACCUUGUGCUAAUAGAUGAGCCUAAGUCGGAUUAGCUAGUUGGGGGGGUAAAGGCCUACCAAGGCGACGAUCUGUAGCGGGUCUGAGAGGAUGAUCCGCCACACUGGGACUGAGACACGGCCCAGACUCCUACGGGAGGCAGCAGUGGGGAAUAUUGGACAAUGGGCGGAAGCCUGAUCCAGCCAUGCCGCGUGUGUGAAGAAGGCCUUUUGGUUGUAAAGCACUUUAAGCGAGGAGGAGGCUACUUAGAUUAAUACUCUGGGAUAGUGGACGUUACUCGCAGAAUAAGCACCGGCUAACUCUGUGCCAGCCGCCGCCGUAA